rnacentral:piRNA from 1 species
UGUCAAUAAAGAUGUGUUCAA